CCUACGGGGCGCACCAGUGGGGAAUAUUGGACAAUGGGGGGAACCCUGAUCCAGCCAUGCCGCGUGCGUGAACAAGGCCUUAUGGUUGUAAAGCACUUUAAGCGAGGAGGAGGCUCUUUUGGUUAAUACCCAAGAUGAGUGGACGUUACUCGCAGAAUAAGCACCGGCUAACUCUGUGCCAGCAGCCGCGGUAAUACAGAGGGUGCAAGCGUUAAUCGGAUUUACUGGGCGUAAAGCGCGCGUAGGCGGCCAAUUAAGUCAAAUGUGAAAUCCCCGAGCUUAACUUGGGAAUUGCAUUCGAUACUGGUUGGCUAGAGUGUGGGAGAGGAUGGUAGAAUUCCAGGUGUAGCGGUGAAAUGUGUAGAGAUCUGGAGGAAUACCGAUGGCGAAGGCAGCCAUCUGGCCUAACACUGGCGCUGAGGUGCGAAAGCAUGGGGAGCAAACAGGAUUAGAUACCCUUGUAGUC
rnacentral:rRNA from 1 species